GGGGGCGACCUGGAUUCGACGUGGGUCGCGAAGCAGCACAGGGCAUGCCGAGGACCAGUUCCCUCGUAAAUCCAGCUGGAAACACAUAAACGCCAACGACGAGCGUUACGCUCUAGCCGCCUAACACCGGCUAGACGCUGCACUGGCUUGCUGAUGGGCCAGGCCCCGAAAGGGGUGCAGCGUCAUUCACAUCAGCCUCUCUGCACGGUCUGGCCGCUUGGCCGUGCGGAUCCGUCGAAGCGGCUGGCUGAGCGUCAGCCCGCCCGCCGGCGGACGCAAGGCGAGAUACAAAUGGCGAGGCUAAGCAUGUAGUCCUGACUGUAGAGGGCUUGCGGACGCGGGUUCGAUUCCCGCCGCCUCCACCA
rfam:Betaproteobacteria bacterium SG8_39 WOR_8-12_8627, whole genome shotgun sequence.